GCCGGGUGUGAUGGUGUGCACCUGUAGUCCUAGCUACAUGGGAGGCUGAGGCAUGAUAAUCACUUGAACUCAAGAAGUGGAGGUUGCACUGAGCUGAGAUCACGCCACUGCACUCCAGCCUGGGCAACANNNNNNNNNNUGUUGCCCAGGCUGGAGUGCAGUGGCGUGAUCUCAGCUCAGUGCAACCUCCACUUCUUGAGUUCAAGUGAUUAUCAUGCCUCAG
rfam:Gorilla gorilla gorilla genomic chromosome, chr7, whole genome shotgun sequence